GUUGGUGUCGAUUGCGGUGAGGGUCCACCCGUUCCCAUUCCGAACACGGAAGUUAAGCUCACAUAGCGCUGAAGAUACUUGGCGGGCAGCUGCCUGGGAAAAUAAGUAGGUGCCAACA
rnacentral:rRNA from 1 species